rnacentral:tRNA from 1 species
GCCAGGGUGGCAGAUCGGCUAUGCGUCCGCCUGCAGAGCGGAAAAGUGGGGUUCAACUCCCUACCCUGGCU